AAUCCGGUGGCCUAGUGGUUAGGGCGUCUGCCUCAGCUGCUGGAGAUCAUGGGUUUUAAACUCGACCGAGUCA